GCUAGGUGAGUGAGCUUUGGGAACGUUAGUUUCGCAAUGCCAGAUGUCGUCUCUGUUUUGCAUGAGCGGAUAGCACUCAAGCUUUUCGGACAUGUCCGUAACGUGGCAUGCUCGAUAUACAGAAGUGCUACAGAAACUGAGAACUACUGAACAUGGACAUGUUGUAUUGGCCAUGUUCCAACAUUCCCAUACAUGACGUCACUGGUGGCGGGGUGCCAGCCCGUGUCACCUGCGCUGAGCUCGGCGCCGAUCGUCGGCCGGGCCGGACUGACGCUAUCCCUGCUGAUGUUGCAGGCACGGCCGGGCGGCUGCAGCGGCCCGGCGACGGCGCCUCCAGUGUCGAGCUCCUCCGCGACGAGGACGCACGGCUCCGUACUGGUGGGCGAUAGGGGAGACCUGUGCAACUGGAGGCUCCGGUCUGGCCGGCCGGACGGGUGAAAAGAACGAGUGGCGAUCCGUGGGGGCUACACGUGACGCGGCCGUGCGAGCCCUGGACGCUGGAGGUGUCGCCCGUGGAGACAACAACAACGUGAAAGGUCCAUUCAGCUUCCGACCGGCACACAGAACCGUCUUGUUCUCGGAGACCACCGGACGUGCAUUAACCAAACAAAUUAGUUUAGAAGACUGUGAACCGGGUUGCAAAUAACUGGAUGCUCUUGCGCGAGUGAGGAGACGGUGCCGUCUGACACGUCACCGCCGCCGCCGCGAUACAACUGCAGAUGGCUCGUGGCGCUUAUGAGUGUGGGCGCUUACAUAACCACUGCGUCGUCUUCCCCGUAUGCCGCCUCUUAGCAGAUCAGGUGAUCAACUGCUCUGCUGCUCCAGCCAAUGCAUCUCGACUCCGACUGAGGGCUGCUGCGCGUCCCUUACCCCGUGACCCCGUCCGCGGUGCAGUUGGUGACAGCAUGAGGAACAGCUGUUGUAUGCUGCAGUGAAAGCCAUCAGCUGAUCGCCGUUCCAGCCAAUAAGUCGUGGCUCCGGCUGAGGCGAGGGCUGCUGCGCGUCCCUUACCCCGUGACCCCGUCCGCGGCACAGUUGGUGACAGCGUGAGGGACAGCUGUUGUAUGCUGCAGUGAAAGCAAUCAGCUGAUCUACUGUUCCAGCCGAUAAGUCGUGGCUCCAGCUGGGGUGAGGGCUGCUGCGCGUCCCUUACCCCGUCCGCGGCACUGUUGGUGACAGCGUGAGGGACAGCUGUUGCUCCAAUAUUUUCGGACCAUUACAACAAGAUAUAGGACUCGUUUCGCCGUCAACCACGAUAGGUCCGUCGUCUCUUGCUCCGUCACCGGUGGAGCGGCCUCGCUGGAGCGGCCUCGGCUUCACAUCCGCACAG